CUAGGACCGAGAUUCUUUUGCACAUUGUAUUUUCUCGCAAAUGCAAUGGCUCGCAUAAAGUCCGAAAUAACAGAAUUCACAAUAUGUUCUUUUUAAGUAUUUUAUUUAUUUUCUUGGUUUUUCUGUGGACUCACAGCCUUUGGACAAUUUCAAACCUACAACUGGAAAAGAGAUGCAGACACCACAGGAUGUAGAUGAAGACAUUGAGAAUCCAUCUUAUAUUUCUCAUGAAAGGAAAUUCUGUCAGCACAAUCUCAGCAGACAAAGCAGGGAAAUCAGUAGCUCCAGUGAGAUGAUUCAGUGCGACACUACACUAUACAACAGCAACAUACACAGUGGCUCCAGUGAGAUGAUUCGGUGCGACACUACAUUAUACAGCAGUGACAUGCACAGUGGCUCCAGUGAGAUGAUUCGGUGUGACACUACACUAUACAACAGCGAGCAUGAUUUAAGCCAUCCACCUCAAAGAAAACAUCACAGCCAAUCAAACCACCGCCCUCUCUACCACUUCCGCUGACGGAAGAACUAAAACUCCCACCUACAAGGAUGUGCAUCAUUAAUAUUUGUUGUAAUGGAUACAUAAAUACUGGAA